UACAGAGGUGGCGAGCGUUAUUCGGAAUUAUUGGGCGUAAAGGGCGCGUAGGCGGAAUGGCAAGUCGGUCGUGAAAUACUUCGGCUCAACCGAAGAACGUCGAUCGAAACUGCCGUUCUUGAGGAUUGCAGAGGAGACUGGAAUUCCCGGUGUAGCGGUGAAAUGUGUAGAGAUCGGGAGGAACACCGGUGGCGAAGGCGGGUCUCUGGGCAAUUCCUGACGCUGAGGCGCGAAAGCGUGGGGAGAAAACGGG
rnacentral:rRNA from 1 species